rnacentral:misc_RNA from 1 species
CAAGAGUAAGAAGAGGAAACAACGCUAUCUCCCCCAAAAUAAGCCAGUGAAGAAGAAGGGCCCCUACCCUUUACGCCCAGGAGUUCAGGGCUUCUUUAUCACUUGUGAUGGUGGCAAAGAGCGCCAAGCCUCUCAUGAGGCUAUUAACGUUAUUGAUUCUUUUUAUGAAGAGCUGAUCCAUGGUAAGGAUACAGAUGUAAAGCCAGCA